rnacentral:rRNA from 1 species
GACGAACGCUGGCGGCGUGCUUAACACAUGCAAGUCGAGCGGUAAGGCCCUUUCGGGGGUACGACGAGCGGCGAACGGGUGAGUAACACGUGGGUGACCUGCCCUCAGCUCUGGGAUAAGCCUGGGAAACGUGGGUCUAAUACUGGAUAUGACUCCACGGUGCAUGUCGUGGGGUGGAAAGCCUUGUGCGGCUGAGGAUGGGCCCGCGGCCUAUCAGCUUGUUGGGGGGGUG